CGGCGACGCCGAGCACUUGGUCGCUCCACUCUUCACUUCACUCGGUUGUUAGUAAAUCAAAGCUAAAAACGUGCUGAAAAGUGAGAAAAAACGCAGGAAAAGUACAAAAAAGCAGCGAUAUUUGACACAAUAAAUUGCUUAAAAUGAGCUUAAUCCCCCAUUUCAUUCCAAAUAGGAUAGGAACUGAUGUUGCUGUUUUGGUAGCGCAAGUGUAAAUAAAACAGAUAUGUUGUUCGAACUGCUCAAGUGAAAAGAAAGAUGUGAUUUUUUUUCUUGCGAUUACAAAUGUUAUGGUUUUCUUCCUUGCUCGGAAGAAAGUGCCGCCGUACUCGUGGCUCGGAGCGUGGUGAGCGACGGAUGCGCACUGGAGGGGCUAUGCGUGUGCUCGGAGGACGAACAUGUGGUGGCGCCGAACACGUGGCUGACGAC
rnacentral:lncRNA from 1 species